rnacentral:lncRNA from 1 species
GUGAAGUCCAUAGUUUUCGAUCGAAGUCCAUAUUUUAGUAGUCCAUUUUGGACUGUCCAAGUCCAUAGUUUAGGGACACCCUGAAAACUGUUAGGGAAUCUAUGGAAGUUUCACCUCUAUGUUAAAAAAACAACAUGUUAGAGCCUCAAUGAAGUUUUUACCACGGUCUAACAGGAGAGGUAGACUAACGCCAUGGCAGCAGACUAAUCAAGGGACUUAGAAGGUUCCUUAAAAUGCCGCUUGGAUCGCGGCGUAGCUUGGCCACCAGCUGUUGUGUGUUGCACAGUCUCCCUCUCCCCCCUCCUUCUAUAUAUUCGGGGAAUCCCACCCCAAGCCGCCAGCGGCAAUUGGCGGCAAUGGCAGCAUUGAAGAGUUGUGACCAAGCUACGCCCGCGAUCUAAGCGGCAUUUUGAGGAAGCUUCUAAGUCCCUUGAUUAUUCCGGCUGAUCAGAGGGAUAGGGCGUUAGUCUACCUCUCCUGUUAGACCGUGUUUUUACUUUGAAGUAAAGUUGUCUGUGCUUCCAAGUUCCAACCAGAUUGAGACUAAAUUGACUUAAGUUCUGAGGUAACAGACUUGAAGGAUUUGUAGGAACUGUUACUGCUGCUGUUAGAAAUAUCCAAAAUUCAAGGUAAAUUUGCAAACCAAUAAGACAAAAACCAUUUGCUGGGUCUUUGGAAUGGAUUCUUUGUGAUAGGAGGGUAAAAGUGCGUUGGGAUUCAGGACAGCAGUUUAUUUAUCGCAUCGGCGACGAAGACGCUUACGAUUUGCGGGUUUUGGACAAUUCAACCGUCGGGGUAAAACACCCUGGGGUCGAAUGUCGAGGGUGUGGCCAGAAAGACAUUGCCGGUUUGAGGUGGCAGUGCUUGAUUGUCCUACGCCUUCCGAUUUGUGUACCUUUUGCUUCGCGAACGGAACACACGAUCAACGACACGUCAAUUUUAUAGGCGCUAUCAUCACCCGUCAUCUGAUCCAAUCGUCGUCCGUUUGAAUUCUGACCAGCCAAGGAUCCCAUUGACAGGAAUUUUCUCUGGUGCACUAGUGAGAAGAGGUGCAGAUUGGAAAUACGGUGACGAGGAUGGAUGGAAAGAUAAAGAGGCAAACCCACCAAUCGGUAAAGUGGUGCCGACACCCACCGGCCGUGAGAUGACGUCGGGCAAAGUUUGGGUCCAGUGGCCGUGUGAAUUAGAUAAAUCCUACUCCUACCGUGUGGGUUUGAAUGGCAAAAUGGACCUAAGAAUUGCCAAAGCUGGUAUCGGCGGACAUUAUCAGCCUGACACACUACCCGUUCUCAAGAUCUCCAAGUCGAGGGCGGACGAGAAACCAAAAGACGUUGUCGCAGAUCCUCCAUUCGUCAUUGGAGACAGGGUCAAACUUGCAGUUGGAUUGAAGCAGCUCAGAGAAAUGUCAGUGAACUGCGAAUUAGAUUGGAACAAUGGUGAAAUGGAAAAGGUAAAGCACUUAGCUUUUGAAGAUGCUAUGUGUGUCAAUCGUUGGAAGGAACGCGUAUAAUGUUUAAUUCUAUAUUUCAGGUGGUUGAUGAUAAUGGGACGUUUGAGGAAUUGAGAAUGGAGACCUCGAGCCAAGUUAAAACCGUAAAGGUGGUAUCUUCGAAGAGGAAAAAAAUGGUAUUAGGCUUCCCGUAAAAGCAUUGCGCAGAUCAAUUCGUGGCUACCAGUUGGCGCCGUGGUACAAGUCAUUAACAAAUCAUAUUCAGAUGGCAUGGACAUGGCAUACGACGGGAUGGCGGGCGAUUUUGGACGCGUUAAGCAAGUAAAUCUCAAUGGGAAGACGGUGCAUAUGGAAUUCUUUACAUCCCAUGGAAAUGAUACAAGAACAAUUCCUAUUAGUCAACUACAUGACAAAUUUGUUGAUGUGUCGGUGAUCGAAAAAGUGGAAUCUAUUAGAAAAUAUUUGGCCAAGUUACUGUUGUCGAAGGUGG